rnacentral:rRNA from 1 species
UAGGGAAUAUUGGACAAUGGGGGCAACCCUGAUCCAGCCAUGCCGCGUGAGUGAAGAAGGCCCUCGGGUUGUAAAGCUCUUUUGUCCGGAAAGGAAAGCAUUCGGUGAAUACCCGGAUGUUCUGACGGUACCGGAAGAAUAAGCACCGGCUAACUUCGUGCCAGCAGCCGCGGUAAUACGAAGGGUGCAAGCGUUACUCGGAAUUACUGGGCGUAAAGCGUGCGUAGGUGGUUGUUUAAGUCUGAUGUGAAAGCCCUGGGCUCAACCUGGGAAUGGCAGUGGAAACUGGGCAGCUAGAGUGCGGUAGAGGGUAGUGGAAUUCCCGGUGUAGCAGUGAAAUGCGUAGAGAUCGGGAGGAACAUCUGUGGCGAAGGCGACUGCCUGGACCAGCACUGACACUGAGGCACGAAAGCGUGGGGAGCAAACA